UACAGGGGGUGCAAACGUUUGCUCGGAAUUAUUGGGCGUAAAGCGCGCGUAGGCGGCUACUUAAGUCGGAUGUGAAAGCCCCUGGCUCAACUGGGGAAAUGCACCCGAAACUGAGUGGCUUGAGUACAAAAGAGGGUCGCGGAAUUCCCGGUGUAGAGGUGAAAUUCGUAGAUAUCGGGAGGAACACCGGUGGCGAAGGCGGCGACCUGGGUUGAUACUGACGCUGAGGCGCGAAAGCGUGGGGAGCAAACAGG
rnacentral:rRNA from 1 species